rnacentral:lncRNA from 1 species
UUCCCAAUGAACCAGUCGCAAGUGAAAGCCCUUGCCUGAGUGCCUCCAUUAGCCAGGUGUCAGAGCUCUGUUUUCAUUCCAGGCUUUUCUCUGGGAAGGGGUGUGUGCGCACCAAAAAGCACCACGGAGGAACUGGAGCCUUGGCAGGAGCAGGAGGGUGCCCAGAGGAGCUCUGCAAGGAAAGUGAGUGCUUUCACUCCUCUGUCAUCACCAGUCCCUGAGAGCCAUCACCACCCACCAACAGUUCCUUGAGAUAAGGCUGAGCCAGCUGGGAGAAGAAAGCCUUUGAUAUUCCCUGCCUUGCUGACAGGGACAGAGAUGGACAUGGAAAUGGAUCUCUCCAGCUCAAGACUCAGGUCCUGGGGAGAAAGAGGUGGAGCUCAGCUGUGGAGUUCCCUGAUCUUUCCAUGGAUAUUGGCGACUGCAGCACCUGGGAUCCACGGCACAACUCCUUCCUCCAGAGGUCAAAGCUGAGCCUACAAUUUCAAGCAGGAUAAUCACCUUUCCAAGGCAAUAACAUGCACUUCCCAAAAGCAGGUGGUUAAGAUGGCUCAGAAGCAAUUACAAGAAUGUGAUGAAAAAUUUGGUCCAUCAAUCCAGCUUCUGGACAUGGUAGGGAAGAGAUACCUUUCAAUAAAACAUCAAACACUGCCUGUUUUAUUUUGUGU